UAGUGUUUAACAUUUCUUGUAAAUAUCCUGUUAAGUGUUAUGUAAUUAUUUUCAAUAUUGUACAUACACUUACUUUCUAGUUAAUUUAUUUAUAUGUUUAUUCACUCACUUUUGGUUGAUUUAUUUAUUAUUUUAUUUAUUUAUUUAUUUAUUUAUUUGUGGAAUUAUUAUGUUAAUAUUUAAAUGUUGUUCCGUGCAUGAUUUAAUUUUUUUAUUCACACUUGCCAAACUUCUUCUGAAGCAUAAUGACUCAGUAUACAUGAAACGGAAUUUUUUCAUGAAAAUUGCACGCAACGAUUCCCAUAUAUUGCAUUAAAUCCUUGUGUUGUUGUACGCAACACCACAUCGAAGAGCGCGAGUAAAGCUCAUGUUCCGCCACACCAACAUAUGCUAAGGGCGAGUAGCUUAAGCGACGCUCUAGGUGGUCACUCAUGCGCGAGGAAAAUAAAGAAGCCAGGUUCCGUGGAAGAAUCACGAGAAUUAGCUCAACCUUGACAAAAAAAGAACGGACAAUUAUGACUUGUUUGGCUGCAUGACUGGGGGUUUGGGGAAAUUCGCGGUUCAAAAAGAACAUUAUUUGCUUCGGCAAAUAAUAAAAAGGCUAAUUGUUUCAAGGAACUCGAACGCUUUUGCUCGUCCACUUGGAUCCAAUCAGUGGAAGGGGCAGCAGUGCGAUUUUUCAAAAUCGCGUCGCGGUGUGACUUUACAAGUAAAUUUUGUAUAAAAGUUUUUUUUUCAAAUGUGCCAAAUAUUGUUUGUUCUUGAUAGGGAAUUUAACGAAAGUUUUCGAAGCCUUUAGAAAUCCGUUAAGUGUCUGUGCUUGUGAAAUAAAGCUCAAACAGGUAAAGUUUAGUUUGUUAGCCAUAAGCUCAAAUUGUUUUUGCGUCGAACAGCCAUUCGACGGCUGUUUGUUAGGGAUUAUUUUCCCAGGUAGACACCUUAGAAUUCGAGUGAAGAGCAAUUUGUUGUGCCUUUUCAUCCAGGUUCAGCUGCGAAUUUCCUCCGAUCCUUUGAGCGAAUGCCGAACAAGUCAUAGGAACGCAUUUAGGAAACAUUUGGGGAAGAGUCACUGUUCGAGCGAUUCUUUAACAAUUUUCAGAGGCCAGUUGCAAGACUGGUCCUUUACCGGGCAAAUCUCGCGCGAGUGGUCCUCUUAGAGGUGGCGCUUAAGCCACUCGCCUUCAAAAAUCCUCCGAACUGUGGCGGAACCGUAGCUGUGAAUUCUGCACGCUACAAUACAAAGCUGCUUGAAUGGCCAAUGUCUUCAUACCCACAAAAUUUCACUGCAAUCUGAGAUGGUGCUGCCAACUCCUAAAACAAGUUCGCUUGAAAUUCGUCUUUUGUAAUAAACAGAAUGCAUAUUUGAUACGGGAGUGUUAAUUUCCAUUCAAAACAUUUAUUUUCACACUGGUGUGCUGUGAAAAUUCUAAAGAGUAUACAGGUGGUAGAAACACAUUUCUUAAAUGAUUAUGAAGAAUGAAAAUUGACUUUCUCGUAUCAAAUAUGUAUUCGACAGCGUCAGACAAAACAUUAAGACCACUGCUCAAGCAAAAAAAAAGUGACAAAACAUUGAGCAAACAUAAUCCAAUCCAGAGCUUCAAUCCUUUUAUAAUAAUUUAUUUGCAUUGUUCGAAGAAAUUGAUAACAUCUGUAGUUAAAACAAUACCGUAUACAGUUCCCCGUUUCGGUUGUUUCGAGCAAUUUUUGAAGAAAAUUGAUUGUUUCCCAGUAGUAUUUUGUGUUUUUUUCGGAUCUUGUUGCAGUCAACGAAAAAUGGUUCACUCGCAUAACUGCACGGAAACACAGCGGCUGGUCAUGCGCAAAAUGUCAAAGGCAGGUAGCGGCCAACUUCUUCUGGGUGGAUAGUAUCAUGGAUCAGUACCUCUAAACCCAAUUCCUAAGGGAUGUUAUGCUGCCACACGCCAAGUGGGAAAUGCCCCUGGAAUGACAGUUCAUGCAGAAUAACGAUCCGAAGCUCGCCGCCAAGACCGUCAUAAAAUGGUUCCAGAAUAACAAAGUUGAUAUCAUGGAAUGGCCAGCACAUUCACCGGAUCUGAACCCUAUAGAGCACCUAUGGAAGAUCGUGAGAAGCUGGGUUCCACCGAUGGCAUAAAACAAAACAACCUACGGAAUUUAAUCAGUAUCACUUUGGUAAGUAUUUUUUUAAAUCUGUUUUACUAACUGUUGUUUUUUUUUAGAUUUUUCAACUAUAAUACAUUUUUUUUUUGACGAAGAAGAUGCCAUUCUAACAUGGAUUUUUACCAAAAAGUGACCAGCUUGUUGGCAACCCUGGCUGUAAGUAGCGGCCAGCUCGGAGGUUAUGGUUACCUCAGGGUUGACUCUUCACCAGCAACACGAAGCGGACCCACAAUUUAAUUGGUAGAAGGUACAAUCACUAUAUUAUAGGAUUCGUGUAUAAUAAGAAGAGAAUUUAUAUAGCAGCAAGCAUUGGGGAAAAGGUGACGUAUAUUUUAAAUCAUCACGAACAAAUACGUAUUUUCCUUUUCUUUUUCUCUGUGCUUUUCAGUAAUACUCGAGACGAUUUUUGACGGAAUUUCUAAAGAAAUAUAAACGGUCUGUUGGAAGGAGGGAUUUUUCUUCAAGUCUUUAAGAAUUUGCAAGUUUUUUUAGAGUGAGAAGUUGCCACUCGAUCCGCUUCAAGGAUUUUAGAAGUUCUCUAACAUCUCUAGCUACAUAUAAGACACGUUUUCGUUUUAUUUCCUUUCAUCCAUACAUAUACAUAUACAUUAGGGUACCAAUGAAUGUAUGGAAAAAAUCGACCCUAAAAUUUCAAAAAGUUACCCUAUACAAAAUUUUCACCACCUCGAAAAAACACCCUAUGGCGAAUUUCAGCUUAAUCGGACUUAAGGGAGAGUGGCGCAAAGCGGUCAAAUUUGAGUUUUUAGAAAAUCGAAAUCGAAAUCACCCAAGGAGGGAGUAAAGGAAAUCAGAGUUUUCGAUUUUUUUUAUGCCAAAUAUCUUAAAACUGCACGAAACGUCAAGAAGUAAAGAAAAUCGGGGUUCUCGAAAAAACAAAUUUAUGCCAAAUGUCUUAAAAUUGUAUGAAACGUCGAGAUGUAGUGUCAUAUCGUAAAAUUUGUUUUUGUCAAAAAUCGGCAUUCUGGGACUUUUUUUUUCUGAGUACGAAACGAAAAGUAUGGUUUUGGGUGCCAAUAAAAAUAGUUCUCUCGAUUUUUCAUUCGGAACAUGCUACGAAAUGUUGAUUUGCACGAUAAUAUACCCUAUGCAAAAUAUUAGCUCAUUCGGGCUUCAUUUACUAGUGUCACAAACGUUAAAAUUUGAGUUUUUUGAAAACCGAAAAAUCACCGGAAAUCAGGGUUUAAAAAAAAAUGGUUCCAAAUGUCUUAAAAUUGCAUGACACGUCGGGAUUUACAGUUAUAUAAAAAAAAUUGUCAAAAAUAGAUUUUUCAGGCGAAGUGCCAAAAAAAUAUUUUUUUCGACAAAAAAAAUUUCGAGAUAACUGUAAAUCUCGGCUGUAAAUGUAAUUUGCAAAAUGGCACCCAAAACCAUGUUUUCCGUUUCGUACUCCGAAAAAAACCUAAGUCCCAGAAUGCCGAUUUUUGACAAAAACAAAUUUUUCGGGAUGACACUAGAUCUCGACGUUUCAUACAAUUUUAAGACAUUUGGCAUAAAUUUUUUUUUCGAGAACCCCGAUUUUCUUUACUUCCCCUUGGGUGAUUUUUCGAUUUUCUAAAAACUCAAACUUUGACCGCUUUGCGCAACUCUCCCUUAAGUCCGAUUAAGCUGAAAUUCGCCAUAGGGUGUUUUUUUGAGGUGGUGAACAUUUUUUAUUAGGUAACUUUUUGAAAUUAGAGAUAACCAUUUUCAUUGGCACCGUACUGUAUAUAUAUAAAAAUCUCGUGUCGCAAUGUUCGUGGACGAACUCCUCCGAAACGGCUCGACCUAUUUUAAUGAAAUUAUACCCAAAAAACUUGGCAGGUGUGCGAAUAGGUCGUAAACUAUAUAUGAUACUACUAGAAUACUGAUUACUGUAUUUUAUGAAUAAUUUAUGUUUUGUAUUUUUGCAUAAAUUUAACUUGAAAACUAUUCGUAUAACCUUAUAAAACCAACUUCAUUCCUAUCUUCUAUUUUUGAUUGCGAUAUUUGUAUUUUUGUAUAAACAAUUCCGAAUAAUUCGUUUGAUUGAUUCUCUGCAAGUGGGGGAAAAUAUUGAACCCAAAUUGCCGCUAAUAAUGAUUUUUAUUACGAACAAUUUGGGCGGAAAUUCAAGGACAUUUAUAGAAAAAAAAAGUUGAGUUAUGACUGUCUUCUAAGUAUUCAAACAACAUCGAGUAAUGAUUUUCUUUCGAAUUUUAUCAAUUUAAAAUUACUUUCGUGUCUGUUAAUCUGAUCGAGAAUUGCUCCGAUUUCAAUCGAAUCGUGAGAUCCGAUCGGGGUCCAAAGCAAUCGGAUUUAGGAAUAUGGAUGACUGUUCAAUAUUGUUACCACAAACAUGGCCCA